rnacentral:rRNA from 1 species
GACGAACGCUGGCGGCGUGCUUAACACAUGCAAGUCGAACGGAAAGGCCCUGCUUUUGUGGGGUGCUCGAGUGGCGAACGGGUGAGUAACACGUGAGUAACCUGCCCUUGACUUUGGGAUAACUUCAGGAAACUGGGGCUAAUACCGGAUAGGAGCUCCUGCUGCAUGGUGGGGGUUGGAAAGUUUCGGCGGUUGGGGAUGGACGCGCGGCUUAUCAGCUUGUUGGUGGGGUAGUGGCUUACCAAGGCUUUGACGGGUAGCCGGCCUGAGAGGGUGACCGGCCACAUUGGGACUGAGAUACGGACCAGACUCGUACGGGAGGCAGCAGUGGGGAAUAUUGCACAGUGGGCGGAAGCCUGAUGCAGAGACGCCGCGUGCGGGAUGACCGCCUGCGGGUUGCAAACCGCUUUCGCCUGUGACGAAGCGUGAGUGACGGUAAUGGGUAAAGAAGCACCGGCUAACUACGUG